rnacentral:rRNA from 1 species
AUUGAACGCUGGCGGCACGCCUAACACAUGCAAGUCGAGCGGUAGCAGUGGAUGUAGCAAUACAUUCAGCUGACGAGCGGCGGACGGGUGAGGAACACGUAGGAACCUGCCCACAGGCGGGGGAUAACCAGGGGAAACCUUGGCUAAUACCGCAUAUUUCCGAGAGGGGAAAGCUGCCCGCAAGGGUGGCACCUGUGGAGGGGCCUGCGUCCGAUUAGCUAGCUGGUGAGGUAAAGGCUCACCAGGGCGAUGAUCGGUAACUGGUCUGAGAGGACGGCCAGUCACACUGGGACUGAGACACGGCCCAGACUCCUACGGGAGGCAGCAGUGGGGAAUAUUGGACAAUGGGGGCAACCCUGAUCCAGCGAUGCCGCGUGAGUGAAGAAGGCCCUCGGGUCGUAAAGCUCUUUGGGCCGGGAAGAAGGUGAUGUGGUGAAUAUCCACGUUGCUUGACGGUACCGGCAGAACAAGCACCGGCAAACCCUGUGCCAGCAGCCGCAGUAACAC